rnacentral:rRNA from 1 species
GGUUACACCAAGUGAUUAAGUUAUAUUUUUAGGUAAAAAGACAGUUAGGUUAUAAAUAAAUUUAGCUAAAUUGACCACCUAUAUAAAAGUAAAAUUUGUAUAUAGGUAGCUAAUCUAGAAAUAGCUAGUGAUAUAUGCUGAAGCUGUGAUAGUUUUGAGGGAAACUGGGAUUAGAUACCCCAUUAUUCUUGACUGUAAAUAUAAUUGAAUUUACCAGAGUACUAUGAAUAGUUAAAAAUUUAAAACUCAAAGGGCUUGGCGGUGUUUUAGACCUAUCAGGGGAACCUGUCUCAUAAUCGACAAUCCACGUUAUAUCUAACCUCAUUUUGUACUCAGUUUGUAUACCGUCGUCGUCAGGUAACUUUUAAAAAUAUAGAAGUUAGCAAUAAAAAUCCUAUAAAUUAAGACGUCAGAUCAAGGUGCAACUUAUAGUGAGGAGAGGAUGGGUUACAAUUAUCAAAUUUAUAAUUACGGAAAUUUAGAUGGAAUUCUAUUUAGAAGGAGGACUUGAAAGUAAACUAAAAUAUAUAAAUAGUUUGAAUUAGGCUCUG